GCGGCACUAGCUCAUCCGGAUAGAGUAGCUGCCUUCUAAGCAGCAGGUAGGGGGUUCGAGUCCCUCGUGCCGCG
rnacentral:tRNA from 1 species